GACGAACGCUGGCGGCGUGCUUAACACAUGCAAGUCGAACGGAAAGGCCCUGCGUUUGUGGGGUGCUCGAGUGGCGAACGGGUGAGUAACACGUGAGUAACCUGCCCUUCACUUUGGGGUAACUUCAGGAAACUGGGGCUAAUACCGGAUAGGAGCUCCUGUUGCGUGGAGGGGGUUGGAAAGUUUGGGCGGUUGGGGAUGGACGCGCGGCUUACCGGCUUGUUGGUGGGGUAGUGGCUUCCCAAGGCUUGGACGGGUAGCCGGCCUGGGAGGGGGACCGGCCACCUGGGGCCUGAGAUACGCCCCAGACUCCUACGGUAGGCAGCGGUGGGAAGUAUGCACCAGUGGGCCGACGCCGGUUGAGGCAACGCUCGGGGCGGGAUGCCGGCUUUCGGGUUGUAAACCGCUUCCGCCUGUUACGAAGCUUUUGUGACGGUAACGAGUGAAGAAGCACCGGCUAACUACGUG
rnacentral:rRNA from 1 species